rnacentral:rRNA from 1 species
AUCUACUCAAAAAAUUUUUUAUAAAAUUAAUUAAUUAGAAGGAACUCGGCAAUUUAAUGCUCCGCCUGUUUAUCAAAAACAUGGCUCUUUGUAAACAAAAAAUAAAGAGUCGAGCCUGCCCAGUGAAUUUUCAACGGCCGCGGUACUCUGACCGUGCAAAGGUAGCAUAAUCAUUUGCCUUAUAAUUGAAGGCUAGUAUGAAUGGUUUGACGAGAGCAAUACUGUCUCCUUAUUAUUUUCAAGAACUUAACUUUUAGGUGAAGAGGCCUAAAUUUUAUUGAAGGACAAGAAGACCCUGUCGAGCUUAAAAGAUUAUAUAGGAGUCUAUAUAUCUUUAGAUAAAUUUCUAUUGAGCUUUUUAGUUGGGGCGACUGAGGAACAAAAAAAGCUUCUUUUUAAAAAAUAAACAAUCAUGUUUAGAUCCGGUAGUAGCGAUUAAGGAAAUUAGUUACCGCAGGGAUAACAGCAUAAUCUCUCUUGAGAGACCUAAUCGAAAGAGGGGGUUGUGACCUCGAUGUUGGACUAGAAUAUCCUAAAGACGC